GAGAGCCGGAUGCGGUGAGAGUCGCAGGUCCGGUUCGGAAGGCGGGCCGCGGAAACCCAGCCGGCGAAAGCCGGCCAGGGCGUUGCGGCCCGAGCCUUAC
rnacentral:ncRNA from 1 species